CUUCGGGAGCUGACGACUGGCGGACGGGUGAGUAAUGCAUAGGAAUCUGCCCACGGGUGGGGGAUAACUCUCCGAAAGGAGAGCUAAUACCGCAUAAGCCCUUCGGGGGAAAGCGGGGGAUCUUCGGACCUCGCGCCGGUGGAUGAGCCUGCGUCGGAUUAGCUAGUUGGUAGGGUAAAGGCCUACCAAGGCGACNAUCCAUAGCUGGUCUGAGAAGACGAUCAGCCACACUGGGACUGAGACACGGCCCAGACUCCUACGGGAGGCAGCAGUGGGGAAUAUUGGACAAUGGGCGAAAGCCUGAUCCAGCAAUGCCGCGUGUGUGAANAAGCCUGAGGGUUGUAAAGCACUUUCAAUGGGAAGGAAAAAGCUUUGGUUAAUACCCUGAGCCUUGACAUUACCUAUAGAAGAAGCACCGGCUAACUCCGUGCCAGCAGCCGCGGUAAUACGGAAGGUGCAAGCGUUAAUCGGAAUUACUGGGCGUAAAGCGUGCGUANGCGGUUGUUUAAGUCAGAUGUGAAAGCCCUGGGCUUAACCUGGGAACUGCAUUUGAU
rnacentral:rRNA from 1 species